UGUGUACUCCCUCCGUUCCAAAAUACUUGACUUCCAUUUGUCCAAAAAUGGAUGUACCUAUAUACCAAGACAUGUCUAGAUACAUAUAUAUUUUUACAAAUAGAAGGCAUGUAUUGUGCAACAGAGGGAGUAGAAU
rnacentral:pre_miRNA from 1 species